rnacentral:rRNA from 1 species
AAGGAAUAUUGGUCAAUGGAGGCAACUCUGAACCAGCCAUGCCGCGUGCAGGAAGACAGCCCUCUGGGUCGUAAACUGCUUUUAUUCGGGAAUAAACCUUUCUACGUGUAGAGAGCUGAAUGUACCGAAGGAAUAAGGAUCGGCUAACUCCGUGCCAGCAGCCGCGGUAAUACGGAGGAUCCAAGCGUUAUCCGGAUUUAUUGGGUUUAAAGGGUGCGUAGGCGGCUUAUUAAGUCAGGGGUGAAAGACGGUGGCUCAACCAUCGCAGUGCCUUUGAUACUGAUGAGCUUGAAUGAACUAGAGGUAGGCGGAAUGUGACAAGUAGCGGUGAAAUGCAUAGAUAUGUCACAGAACACCGAUUGCGAAGGCAGCUUACUAUGGUUUUAUUGACGCUGAGGCACGAAAGCGUGGGGAUCAAACAGGAUUAGAUACCCUGGUAGUCCACGCCCUAAACGAUGAAUACUCGCUGUUAGCGAUACACAGUUAGCGGCUAAGCGAAAGCGUUAAGUAUUCCACCUGGGGAGUACGCCCGCAAGGGUG